GAUGAACGCUGGCGGCGUGCCUAAUACAUGCAAGUCGAGCGAACAGACGAGGCGCUUGCUUUUCUGAUGUUAGCGGCGGACGGGUGAAUAACACGUGUAUAACCUACCUAUCAUACUGGUAUCACUUCGGAACACCGUAGCUAAUCCCGUAUAAUCUUUUGCACCGCAUGGUUCAAUAGUGAAAUUCGGUCUUUCUGUCACUUCUCGAUGCAUCCGCGCUGCAUUAGCUAGUUGGUAAGUUCACGGCUUACCACGGCGACUAUGCGUAACCGACCUGAGAGGGUGGUCGGCCACACUGGAGCUGGGACACGGUCCAGAGGCCUACGGGAGGCAGCAGUAGGGAAUCUUCCGCAAUGGGCGAAAGCCUUACGGAGCAACGCCGCGUGAGUUAUGAAGGUCUUCGGAGCGUAAAACUCUGUUAUGAGGGAAGAACAGAUGUGUAAGUAGCUGUGCACAUAGUGACGGUAACUAAUCAGAAAGCCACGGCUAACUACGUG
rnacentral:rRNA from 1 species